GUACCAGAUUGUUUUGAUAAUUACUGUUUUCUCAUACAGUUUACAAUCUGAUCCUGCUAGACCUCCAUCCUUUACAUUUUUUCCCAAUAAUUCUUUUGAAAUUCUUGAUCUUUUAUUUUUCCAAAUGAAUUUUGUUAUUUUUUUUUCAGGCUCAAUAACACGAGAUUUUGGUAAUUUGAUUGGGAUGGCAUUGACCUCCUUUGGAUGUAGUAGCCAGAAGUCAUAGGAAGAACCAUUUGGAGGAAGAAAAGAAAAAUUAUUUGUUUAUUUAUUUUUUUGGUAAUUACAUGUAAUCAAUUUUCAUAUGUGUUUUAUAAAAUUUUAUGAUCCAAAUUGUUACUCUUAGCCCUUUCUUUUAAAAUGUAAAGACAUAUUUUUAAGGGGGAAGGGAUUAAAAGUAGAACUUCAAUCCUUUAAACAUAGGCUCUGAUGACUCUAUUUAAUUGACUCUAUAUAAAAUAUGACUCUAUAUAAUGAAAACUAAUUUCCUUUCUUUCCAUAUUUAUGUUUAUUGUUUCAGUUUGAUUUAAUCCAACAACAUUUAAGUGUUUAUUGUGUAACCAGGCAGGGGAGAUAUAAAGAGUUGAAACAAUCCCUGCCCUGAUGUAACUUAAAUUCUGGGGGUGGAGGUGAGGAUGGAUGCCACAGAUAUUAAAUGCAAAACAUAUACAAAGUAAGUGUAAUGAAAUUUAGGAAGAAUACCUGGGGGAAUCAGAAAAGGCCUUUUGUAAAAGGAACAGUUUCAUUGA
rnacentral:lncRNA from 1 species